rnacentral:lncRNA from 1 species
CAUUAUACAACAUUCAAUCUACUCUGUAUACGAGCACUACAGUCUCAGACCCAAACAGAAUACAUAUGGCUGACAACACCAGCAGCCCCGACUGUAGAGCUGGCUAGGCACUUGUAGUCACCGGUCUCUCCAGUGCACCUCGGAUUGGAGAGCUGGAACAGGUGCACACCAAUCACAUCCGGUCUUCGCCAAGGUGGGAGGAGAGGACCUGCGUGCAGCCAAUCAGGGGCCAGGGAUCACACAUCCCAAUCUGCAUACCUAAUAGGGAACACAGGGUGCAGACAUCCACAUAAUAACCCCCACAGAUACCUAAGGCAGAUGGCAUUGGCCUUGGCCGUAGCAGGGACUCACAGUGACGAUUGUGUUUUAACUUACUUUGUACAACGGGAACAAAGGGAAGUAAAGUAUUGACCAGAGAAGUCGAAAGCCCAAGGUCAAGUAUGGAGCGAAGGGUUGUAAACACUUAAAAACCUGGCAAGACUACAAGAAUGGAUCGCUACUCGCCUCGCCUCUCGUCUCACCUGCCUAUCUGCCUUUCCAUUCCCAUGACAUUCCCUGCCAUCCACCCUCACCGUCCCAUCUGCUUUUGAGUUUCACUUCAUUAAACUGUUCAAACGUACUCUGUCCCCCGAGUCUGUGUUCUACCUCAAGUAAAUACGCAGCCCCAGACUCCAUGCUGUCUGAGCUGCGAUUUGAUUCACUUCCUUUAAAAAACACAAUUGAAAUAGUGACUAUAAACAUGGGAGUUAAGCCUCACGUGUCCUUGUCUACUGUGUCAUCUGGAUGGCCUGUACUUAUCUGAUAAAACAGGAGGUAACUGUAGCAAAAUGACUGGUUCCUCUCAUCUCCCGCAGUCACCUUCAGGCAAGACACUGUGUGUGUGUGUGUGUAUGUGUGUGUGUGUGUGUGUGUGUGUGUGUGUGUGUGUGUGUGUGUGUGUGUGUGUCCAGGACACUAAUAAGCACUACUGCGUCCAUGUAUGUCCUUGUCCUAGUUUAGCAGAAAGACACAGAAAGAGGGAGUGAGUUACACAGGA